AGUGUGUUGGGGGGUGGGGUCACUACGGGUAGGACCAGGCAUAGGGUGCUGGUGUGUGUGUCACACUGGGUACGGAUUGUGUGUGUUGGGCGUGGUGUGUGUGUGUGUGUGUCACUCUGCGUACGGGUUGUGUAUGCUGGGCGUGGUGUGUGUGUGUUGCUCUGCGUACGGGUUGUGUAUGCUGGGCGUGGUGUGUGUGUAUGUCACUGCGUACGGGUUGUGUGUGUUGGGCGUGGUGUGUGUGUGUGUCACUCUGGGUACGGGUCGUGUAUGCUGGGCGUGGUGUGUGUGUGUCACUCUGCGUACGGGUUGUGUGUGCUGGGUGUGGGGUGUGUGUGUGUCACUCUGCGUACGGGUUGUGUGUGCUGGGUGUGGGGUGUGUGUGUGUCACUCUGCGUACGGGUUGUGUGUGCUGGGCGUGGUGUGUGUGUCAUUCUAAGUACGGGUUGUGUGCUGCACCUGGUAUGUGUGUCGCUCUGAGUACCGGCUGGGUGCCGGGCAUAGUGUGUGUGUGUUACUCUGAGUGUGGGUUGUGUGUGUCAGCCCUUUUGCUGUGUGUCAGUCUGGGCUUUGGGUGUGUGCUCUGCAUCAGGGUGGAUAAAAAUCAAUGAUUUUUUUUAUUUAAAUCAGAUUUUUUUGAUAAAAUGCUUUUUGAGGAAAAAACCUAUCUAAAGAUAGUUUUAACUAAGCUACAUUAUAGCUCAAAGAUAUCUCAUCAUAGAAUAGGGAUUAUAAAUUCUAAUUCUAUAGUAUGAGACAAUAUAUUCAUGUAAUGUUUAAGAAAAGUUUUAUAAAUGAGUUCUAAUAGUACAUGGAUUAGGGACCCAAUUUUAUGGGGUUCCACAGGCUUCUGUAUAGAUUAUUUAGGUUAAUCUUUCUAUGGGACUCAGUGCUCAGUUUAGAAGAUACCAUCAGAGAUGCUUAGUUUUGCAGUUCUCAAACUGUGGAUUUGUGUCUCCAAAGGUAACAUGCUUGUUAACAGCAAAAAUGUUUUAAAAUAAAUAAUAUAUAGAUGUGAGAAAUAACAGACCUCAACCCUAUUGUCCCUCUGCAAAUUUGUGUACACAGAAUCAAUCCCUUACCUCUCUCUAAAAGUGCAAAGUUUCAAAAAGUUCAAUGAAUAGAAGAUUGUUGGGGACGGAAUAGAUCUGGACAAGGAGAAGAAGAAGUCUGGAGAUAAAUGUGAGAAGUGAGGGACAUAUGCUUGUUUUGUUAAAAUAUUAUAUGUUUGCUGUUGAAGAAAAAAAUCCAGAAUACUUAAUGUUGUUGUUUUAGUUAAAUAAAACAAUUUAAAUGUC